rnacentral:misc_RNA from 1 species
GAUGAAGAACGCAGCGAAAUGCGAUAAGUAAUGUGAAUUGCAGAAUUCAGUGAAUCAUCGAAUCUUUGAACGCACAUUGCGCCCUGUGGUAUUCCGCAGGGCAUGCCUGUUCGAGCGUCAUUUCAACCCUCAAGCUCUGCUUGGUGUUGGGCCCUGCCCGCUGCGGCCGGCCCUAAAGACAGUGGCGGUGCCGCCUGGCCCUCAGCGUAGUACAUCUCUCGCUCCAGUGCCCGGUGGUAGCCUGCCAGAACCCCAACUCUCGUGGUUGACCUCGGAUCAGGUAGGGAUACCCGCUGAACUUAAGCAUAUCAAUAAGCGGAGGA